CGGCAGCCCGAGUGGUGAUCACUAUUAUUGGGUCUAAAGGGUCCGUAGCCGGUUUGAUCAGUCUUUUGGGAAAUCUGACAGCUUAACUGUUAGGCUUCCAAAGGAUACUGUCAGACUUGGGACCGGGAGAGGUAAGAGGUACUACAGGGGUAGGAGUGAAAUCUUGUAAUCCCUGUGGGACCACCAGUGGCGAAGGCGUCUUACCAGAACGGGUCCGACGGUGAGGGACGAAAGCUGGGGGCACGAACCGGAUUAGAUACCCGUGUAGUCC
rnacentral:rRNA from 1 species